rnacentral:misc_RNA from 1 species
GGAUGGUUCCUCACCAAAGUCUCUAAGAUACAUUGGAAGGUAUCAUGAUAACAACUGCAAUGUUUCUAGUUUUUAAAUUGUUCAUUAAUUAUUGCAAUUAAAUCUUAGCUAGUCCUUUCUGUCAUCAUUGAUUGACAUUCAUGAUCAUUGAAUGGAAAUGGACAGCCUAAUAUCCACUAGAGACAAUAUAGGAGGUUAAACAGUCUCUAACUCCUGGCUUAAUGUUUUCUUCCCAUGAUUCCACUUUCAAAGCCUUUUGUGCUAUGCAGUGAUUCAGAGUCUUAAAUUUACGUGUAAACUCUCCUUUUCCCCCUUUUCCUUUUAUUUUUCUCGAGUGAAUCUGAAAUGUCAUCUACAAUUCUUUGAGUUGUUUUUCUCAAGUCUCAAGCCUUCUCUAACUUGUACAAUCUUCUAUGAAUAUUUUUCACUCUAAUAAAUUUUAUAUUGCACAACACAAUGCUAUAUUUUUAGCAGAAUCCAUUUUUAAAGCAAAACGUGUUGUCACUUUCAUAAAGAUUGGCCGAAACAAAUCAAACGAUGUUUGUUCAUUCAACUUCUUUCUCAUUGUCUGAGAAACUUUAAGUCCACUCCCUUGAUCUUUGUAAUUUCCAAAGUCCAUUCCACCACCAUCUUUCGACCUUGCAAUCAAAAGGUAGCUAAUAGAAGCUGAGGGAUGUCAUGGCAUUCUGCCUAGUUUACUGGUGCUGCUUCAGAGACAUUCAAUAUAUUAAGUCUAGAAAACCUGAGAUCGUAUAUCUUUUCUUCAUAUAUUUUGGUAACUUAACCUAUUAAAUUGCGAUGUACACCGUGGAGGCGUGUAACUUAAAAAAAAAAAAGCAAACAUACAUAACAAAAUUAACCUCUCUCAAUACAGGGCUACGUAGAUCUGCUCGAUAGAAUUGGAGAGUUAAGCAUGAGGAAAAGUUAAUUGAACGUGAACCACGCUCAAUAAAAUGAAUCUAUGUGGUUCACCCUCUCCAAUAACACACUGACCAUUUCUGUUUAUGAUCUGGCUUUGUUUUGUUCACCUAAAAUUUCGUAGUUUGUGAUAACAAUGUCUGGGCGAACAGUAUGGUAGCUGACGUCCAUCGCACAUUACUUUAUGGGGGGAUAUUUUUGUACCCUGCUGACAAGAAGAGUCCCAAUGGGAAACUG